rnacentral:rRNA from 1 species
CUGGCGGCAUGCCUAAUCAUGCAAGUCGAACGGAGAUAGCAAUAUCUUAGUGGCGAACGGGUGCGUAACACGUGAGCAACCUGCCUUAUACAUCGGAAUAACAGCUGGAAACGGCUGCUAAUACCGGAUAAGACCACACCAAGGCAUCUUGGAGAGGUCAAAGCGAAUUAGCGGUAUAAGAUGGGCUCGCGUCCAAUUAGCUAGUUGGUGGGGUAACGGCCCACCAAGGCAACGAUUGGUAGCCGACUUGAGAGAGUGAUCGGCCACACUGGAACUGAGACACGGUCCAGACUCCUACGGGAGGCAGCAGUAGGGAAUAUUGGGCAAUGGAGGAAAAACCUCUUACCCAGCAAUGCCGCGUGAAUGAUGAAGGUCUUAUGGAUUGUAAAGUUCUUUAAUUGGGGACGAAAGAAAUGACGGUACCCAAAGAAUAAGCCCCGGCUAACUAUGUGCCAGCCGCGGC